CUUGGAGAGUGAUCGGUUGCUCUUCAUCAACCGGAUUGGAGUAGGCGAGGGCACCUGGAAAGGACCAAAUCUAGGUUGUUCUUGUUCUGGAUUGGAGGAAGGCAUCGGAUCAAGGUAUUGGUAGAUUUCUCUUCUACCGAUCACUGCUUCUCCACUUCUUGAAGCUGUGGAGGUCACGGGUGAGGAGGCAAGGGACUAUUGAGGACUUGGAUUCGGGACGAGUGUCUCGACGUGGGAUUAUUUGGCACGAUCGACAGAUCAAGG